AUUGAACGCUGGCGGCAGGCUUAACACAUGCAAGUCGAGCGGAGAUGAGGUGCUUGCACCUUAUCUUAGCGGCGGACGGGUGAGUAAUGCUUAGGAAUCUGCCUAUUAGUGGGGGACAACAUUCCGAAAGGAAUGAUAAUACCGCAUACGUCCUACGGGAGAAAGCAGGGGAUCUUCGGACCUUGCCCUAAUAGAUGAGCCUAAGUCGGAUUAGCUAGUUGGUGGGGUAAAGGCCUACCAAGGCGACGAUCUGUAGCGGGUCUGAGAGGAUGAUCCGCCACACUGGGACUGAGACACGGCCCAGACUCCUACGGGAGGCAGCAGUGGGGAAUAUUGGACAAUGGGGGGAACCCUGAUCCAGCCAUGCCGCGUGUGUGAAGAAGGCCUUAUGGUUGUAAAGCACUUUAAGCGAGGAGGAGGCUACUGAGACUAAUACUCUUGGAUAGUGGACGUUACUCGCAGAAUAAGCACCGGCUAACUCUGUGCCAGCCGCCGCGGUAA
rnacentral:rRNA from 1 species